rnacentral:piRNA from 1 species
UGAAGAAUUUGUUGCCCUGUGGCUUGCCCA